rnacentral:rRNA from 1 species
UUCCGACUCCUACGGGAGGCAGCAGUGAGGAAUAUUGGUCAAUGGUCGGGAGACUGAACCAGCCAAGUCGCGUGAGGGAUGACGGCCCUACGGGUUGUAAACCUCUUUUGCCGGGGAGCAAAGAGCGGGACGCGUCCCGCCUCGAGAGUACCCGGAGAAAAAGCAUCGGCUAACUCCGUGCCAGCAGCCGCGGUAAUACGGAGGAUGCGAGCGUUAUCCGGAUUUAUUGGGUUUAAAGGGUGCGCAGGCGGCACGGCAAGCCGGCGGUCAAAUCGCGGGGCUCAACCCCGCCCAGCCGUCGGAACUGCCGGGCUAGAGUGGGCGAGAAGUGCGCGGAAUGCGUGGUGUAGCGGUGAAAUGCAUAGAUAUCACGCAGAACUCCGAUUGCGAAGGCAGCGCACCGGCGCCCUACUGACGCUCAGGCACGAAAGCGUGGGUAUCGAACAGGAUUAGAUACCCCAGUAC